rnacentral:rRNA from 1 species
UACGUAGGGGGCAAGCGUUGUCCGGAUUUAUUGGGCGUAAAGAGCGUGUAGGCGGCCUUACAGGUCAGCUGUGAAAACUCGAGGCUCAACCUCGAGACGUCGGUUGAAACCGUAUGGCUAGAGUCCGGAAGAGGAGAGUGGAAUUCCCGGUGUAGCGGUGAAAUGCGCAGAUAUCGGGAGGAACACCGGUGGCGAAGGCGGGACUCUGGGCCGAUACUGACGCUGAGGAGCGAAAGCGUGGGGAGCAAACAGG